UAGCAACAGCCAGGUCGACCUGCUUGCUUUUCUUUGCUCUCUCUGACCCCUUUCUCACUCUCUCUCCUUCCCUCCCCCCUCUCUCCUUGCAUUCAUCUUCCCCCUCCUGCCCCCCUCCCCCAUUCUUUUCCUGCCUACACUCUGACUCUAGUCCCUUCUCAACCUUGCUUCCCAAGCCCCAGAUAAACUCUAUUCUAUACUAGCAGGCCUGGCAGGUACCUCAGAGGGGAGGGAUGCCUCAGCACGGGCGCGCUACAAAACAUACUGUUUUUAUGAAACCUAUCACCCUUCUCCGCUCUCUCUCUUCCUGCCUCCCUCCCUUUCUCCAUCUCUUCCCCACUCCUGCCUGACUGUCCAGGGCUGUCAGCCACUCAAAGCACCAGUAAAAGGAAGUGACUUUUGUUGCUGUGUGGAGAUAGUAGUAGGCAGGACAGGUGUUCCGCAGGCAAGCUUCUGCCAGGAUCUAUCUUAACAGACAUCCUUUCAACAGUCUCCAGUGUCCAACUGCCAAGGACUCGGGUAAGGCUGGAGACAGAACUACACACCCACAAGCCUGACUGCAUCAGGUCAAGCCUUGCGGCUCUCUCUGUGUCUGUCUAUACAGGAGGACUGAGGCUGGAUCUACCCUCACUUUUAAACAAUGGUAGCUUUGUGACUGUAGGUCCAGGACCACAUAAGCAUUGAGGAAUGCUCAACAAAUAUUCAGGGAUGGGAUGAAUUGAAUCCGGCGCAGUCUCACUUCAGCGAGGCCAAGUCAUUUCUAAGGCCACACAACAAACUGUGGACUUUAUUCCUGGAGCAUUUGCUGAACAUCAAAGCCAGGCUGAGCACCAGGCACACCAGGCACAGGGGAAUGACUGUGACAAGUUACACUUUGGAACACUCCUGGAACUUGCAUUAACUAAGUCCUUGGUCUGCACACUAAGAGUCUAUCUCUGGAGCAAUCUUAGUUUGUAAGACUCCUAGUAAAAAACCCACUUUCUCUGGGAAGACUUCUCUGGCCCUGGAAGUCAAGGUUAAACAUGUCCAUGUGGUCCUGAAUAGAGGCACAUUCAUCAUGUUACCUUAACCUGACACAUGGGGCUGACAACCAGCCUUCUUGGUGUUUGUGGUUGCUUUUGAAGUUAGCAUAUGACCCAGGCAAGACCAAUCAAUCAGAUGCUUUACUGAUACGGAGAGACACUGGCUAAGAUCUCUCCCUGGAUCUGCUUCUGUUAAGUCUGGGGUCAAUUCCAUGUAUCCUUUCCCAACAGGGAGGGACAUGACCUGCCAGAGGGGGCUGGGCAGUAUGUGAAGGGCUGAUCAUGGAAGAAUCAAACAGUGAUGAAUGCGCUCUACUGAGAAAGAUGCCACGUCUGGGGGUCAGGCAGACUGGCUUGCUGCUUGUAAGGUUGUGUAGGGGGUCUUAAUUCUCUUUUUGAAAAAGAGGUGAUACUAUCUACCUGUUGUGGAAGGGGUCAGGCCGCAGGUCACCCUUUAUAGAAGGGCUGUGGGCUUGAGACCACCCUGCCAUCUUGCAUACAGGGCUCAGUGUCCCUACUCUAAGUUUGGGCUCCUUCUUGGUAUCAUUCCCAUAGGGAUGUUUAGUCUUUCUGUGGGAUCACAGUAUCACCACAGCAUCUCUGCCUGCUGCCUGUGACAUCUCCUUGCCUUUUCUUUCUUCCACAGUGUUAGGCAUUAAAUGUAGGACAUUGAACAUGCCGGACAUGCUUUGAUACAGAGCUCCAUCUCCCACCACUCCAGUCUUCAUCGAGGCAUUUCAUAAAGGCCCUACAGGAUCCAGAAUGUCUGUUUGUUUCCUGGAGCUCUGUGACUUUCAGCUCAACCAUGACCUGCCCAGAGGCAAGGUAGCCAGUGAAAGGAGCCACUCUCCCUAGGCUGGGGACAGACUGUCAAAGAGGGAGGGUCAGAGCAUCUCAUCAGCAUCUCUAGUGACGUGAAAACUUCAUUGGCUAAGUUCCAACUCUUGGACCUUCCCUGUCUUCACGAAGUCCCCUCCAUCAACACCCUUGAUCUGCUUUGUGGAUGGUCUUGAGCUUUGGGCCACCUUCUCUGCGACUGCAGCCUCUCUGUCUGGCCGUUACGCUCGUAUCUGGGUAUAGGCACCAGGCACGUGUGGUAUAUGGUGUAUAUCCUCUGGUGUACAGAGAAUGAAGAAAGGGGCUUUCUAUAAACUGGCCUUCUCCGUGCACCAAACCAGCUCCUUCCCUUUUAUUAUGAAUCAUGUUCCCAGAGGACACACCUGGACUUUAGAAUCCACCUGGCUUCUGAAAAUUUAAGCCCUGUUUAUUUCCACAUCAUUCUUGGACAUUUCACAGACUGUAAGUGUUAUCACUGGGGCUGGAGAGAUGGCUCAGUGUUUAAGAGGACCAACUGCUCUUCCAAAGGUCCUGAGUUCAAAUCCCAGCAACCACAUGGUGGCUCACAACCAUCUGUAACAAGAUCUGAUGCCCUCUUCUGGAGUGUCUGAAGACAGCUACAGUGUACUCACACAUAUACAUAAAAUAAAUCAUUUUUUUUUUAAAGUACCUUU
rnacentral:lncRNA from 1 species